rnacentral:rRNA from 1 species
AACGAACGCUGGCGGCAUGCCUAACACAUGCAAGUCGAACGCUCCGCAAGGGGAGUGGCGAACGGGUGAGUAACGCGUGGGAACCUGCCCAGUAGUUGGGAAUAACCGCGGGAAACUGCGGCUAAUACCGAAUACGCCCUAAGGGGGAAAGAUUUAUCGCUAUUGGAGGGGCCCGCGUCGGAUUAGCUGGUUGGUGAGGUAACGGCUCACCAAGGCGACGAUCCGUAGCUGGUCUGAGAGGAUGAUCAGCCACACUGGGACUUAGACACGGCCCAGACUCCUACGGGAGGCAGCAGUGGGGAAUCUUGCGCAUGGCCGAAAGGCUGACGCAGCGACGCCGCGU